rnacentral:rRNA from 1 species
UACAGAGGGUGCGAGCGUUAAUCGGAAUUACUGGGCGUAAAGCGCACGUAGGCGGCUUUGUAAGUUAGAGGUGAAAGCCCGGAGCUCAACUCCGGAAUUGCCUUUAAGACUGCAUCGCUAGAAUUGUGGAGAGGUAAGUGGAAUUCCGAGUGUAGAGGUGAAAUUCGUAGAUAUUCGGAAGAACACCAGUGGCGAAGGCGACUUACUGGACACAUAUUGACGCUGAGGUGCGAAAGCGUGGGGAGCAAACAGG